rnacentral:rRNA from 1 species
AUUGAACGCUGGCGGCGUGCUUUACACAUGCAAGUCGAGCGAGCGGCGGACGGGUGAGUAAUGUAUGGGAAACUGCCUGCUGGAGGGGGAUAACUACUGGAAACGGUAGCUAAUACCGCAUACCAUCAGAUGUGCCAAGAGGGGAAUAGCUAGUAGGUGGGGUAACGGCUCACCUAGGCGACGAUCCCUAGCUGGUCUGAGAGGAGGACCAGCCACACUGGAACUGAGACACGGUCCAGACUCCUACGGGAGGCAGCAGUGGGGAAUAUUGCACAAUGGGCGCAAGCCUGAUGCAGCCAUGCCGCGUGUGUGAAGAAGGCCUUCGGGUUGUAAAGCACUUUCAGCGGGGAGGCGUUACCCGCAGAAGAAGCACCGGCUAACUCCGUGCCAGCAGCCGCGGUAAUUC